rnacentral:rRNA from 1 species
UACUACGGGAGGCAGCAGUGGGGAAUAUUGCACAAUGGGCGCAAGCCUGAUGCAGCCAUGCCGCGUGUAUGAAGAAGGCCUUCGGGUUGUAAAGUACUUUCAGCAGUGAGGAAGGUGGGUAUGUUAAUAGCAUACUCAUUUGACGUUAGCUGCAGAAGAAGCACCGGCUAACUCCGUGCCAGCAGCCGCGGUAAUACGGAGGGUGCGAGCGUUAAUCGGAAUUACUGGGCGUAAAGCGCAUGCAGGUGGAUGAUUAAGUCAGAUGUGAAAGCCCGGGGCUCAACCUCGGAAUAGCAUUUGAAACUGGUCAUCUAGAGUACUGUAGAGGGGGGUAGAAUUUCAGGUGUAGCGGUGAAAUGCGUAGAGAUCUGAAGGAAUACCGGUGGCGAAGGCGGCCCCCUGGACAGAUACUGACACUCAGAUGCGAAAGCGUGGGGAGCAAACAGGAUUAGAUACCCUGGUAGUCCACCCGUAAACGAUGUCUACUUGGAGGUUGUGGCCUUGAACCGUGGCUUUCGGACUAACGCCUUAAAUAGACCG